GAUGAAGAACGUAGCGAAAUGUGAUAAGUAAUGUGAAUUGCAGAAUUCAGUGAAUCAUCGAAUCUUUGAACGCACAUUGCGCCCCCUGGUAUUCCGGGGGGCAUGCCUGUCCGAGCGUCAUUACAACCCUCAAGCUCAGCUUGGUGUUGGGCCCCGCCGCCCCGGCGGGCCCUAAAGUCAGUGGCGGUGCCGUCCGGCUCCGAGCGUAGUAAUUCUUCUCGCUCUGGAGGUCCGGUCGUGUGCUUGCCAGCAACCCCCAAUUUUUUUCAGGUUGACCUCGGAUCAGGUAGGGAUACCCGCUGAACUUAAGCAUAUCAAUAAGCGGAGGA
rnacentral:misc_RNA from 1 species